rnacentral:rRNA from 1 species
AGACAGCAGCCGCCACGGUAAUACGUAGGUGGCAAGCGUUGUCCGGAAUUAUUGGGCGUAAAGCGCGCGCAGGCGGAUAGGUCAGUCUGUCUUAAAAGUUCGGGGCUUAACCCCGUGAUGGGAUGGAAACUGCCAAUCUAGAGUAUCGGAGAGGAAAGUGGAAUUCCUAGUGUAGCGGUGAAAUGCGUAGAUAUUAGGAAGAACACCAGUGGCGAAGGCGACUUUCUGGACGAAAACUGACGCUGAGGCGCGAAAGCCAGGGGAGCGAACGGGAUUAGAUACCCCCGUAGUCCCUGUCUCUUAUACA